rnacentral:tRNA from 1 species
GGGAUCGUGAGGUAAUGGCAUCCUGGCGGGCUCCAGACCUGUCUAUGGGGGUUCGACUCCCCUCGAUCCCA